AGUGUUCGACAUUUGACAGGAUUAUUAUAAUAAGAGUAAUUUAAUUAUUCAUAGAGUUUCUGCUUAGAGUAAUUAUUAAUUAUGCCGGGGCACUAUUGUGCAGUGCACAGCUGUAAUAACAAAAGCAAGGGCAUGGAUAAAGAAAAUUCUGCAUCAAUCUCAUUCCACUUGUUUCCUAAAGACAAGACAGUAAGGGAUAUUUGGGAAAAAUUUUGUCAGCGAAGCAAAAAUUGGAAACCAAAAUGUUCUUCCACAAUUUGUUCAGCACAUUUUUCUGCAGAUGAUUUCUACAUAAAAUACAAAAAAGAGAUGUACAGCCAAAUUCCACAUAAAAUGAGACUUAAACCAGGAGCAAUACCUGAAAAAUAUGUUCUGACUGAAAAGUGUCGUGACAGUACACAAGUUGGCAUCUUUGAACAAAAUGGUUGUUUGGCAAAUGAAGAUCAACUUGGUAUCUUUGAACAGAAUGGUUCAAUGGAAGAUGAAGAUAAAGCUAAGUUGCAAAAAAAGGUAGCAGAAUUGGAAGAGAACAUUUCACAGUUAAAUGGCUCUAAUAAUAAUUUGGUCCAAACUAUACAAGAGCAAGACCAAUACAUUACAAAGCUGGAAAAAAAAAUUUCUGUGUUGGAAAAUGAAAUACAGACACUGCAGGUGUUGAAUAAGCAAGUAAAUGUUGUUGAACUUGCAAAGAAAUUUGAUCCUGUUUUAACUGAAAAUCAAAUUAAUUUAAUUUUAAAAAAGAAGUUAAGAGUGACCUGGACAAAAGAAGAAAUAGCAAGAGCAUUUACUUUACGGUAUUUCAGCAAGAAAGCAUACUGUUUUAUGAGAAAUGAAGGCUAUCCUUUACCAAAUUUAAAGACUUUGCAAUAUUAUGCCAGAAAAAUUAAUCUGAGAAAUGGGAUAUUGCACGAUAUUUUAAACUUAAUGAAUGUCAUGGGGAAGGACCUUUCAGAAACAGAA